UGACCCAGGAUCCUGGACUGAAAAAACAGGAAGAGACCUUGGGUUUUCCUUUUCCAGUUUUUUCCUCAACAGUGUAUAGGGGAUUCCUGUGGUGUCUACAUGCUGAUGUAUGCUCUCAGCACCUGUACGUCAUGUCCAUUAACAUUCACA